rnacentral:rRNA from 1 species
CUAUACAUGCAGUCGAGCGGACGACGGGAGCUUGCUCCCUUAGGUCAGCGGCGGACGGGUGAGUAACACGUGGGUAACCUGCCUGUAAGACUGGGAUAACUCCGGGAAACCGGGGCUAAUACCGGAUGCUUGAUUGAACCGCAUGGUUCAAUCAUAAAAGGUGGCUUUUAGCUACCACUURCAGAUGGACCCGCGGCGCAUUAGCUAGUUGGUGAGGUAACGGCUCACCAAGGCGACGAUGCGUAGCCGACCUGAGAGGGUGAUCGGCCACACUGGGACUGAGACACGGCCCAGACUCCUACGGGAGGCAGCAGUAGGGAAUCUUCCGCAAUGGACGAAAGUCUGACGGAGCAACGCCGCGUGAGUGAUGAAGGUUUUCGGAUCGUAAAACUCUGUUGUUAGGGAAGAACAAGUACCGUUCGAAUAGGGCGGCACCUUGACGGUACCUAACCAGAAAGCCACGGCUAACUACGUGCCAGCAGCCGCGGUAAUACGUAGGUGGCAAGCGUUGUCCGGAAUUAUUGGGCGUAAAGCGCGCGCAGGCGGUUUCUUAAGUCUGAUGUGAAAGCCCCCGGCUCAACCGGGGAGGGUCAUUGGAAACUGGGGAACUUGAGUGCAGAAGAGGAGAGUGGAAUUCCACGUGUAGCGGUGAAAUGCGUAGAGAUGUGGAGGAACACCAGUGGCGAAGGCGACUCUCUGGUCUGUAACUGACGCUGAGGCGCGAAAGCGUGGGGAGCGAACAGGAUUAGAUACCCUGGUAGUCCACGCCGUAAACGAUGAGUGCUAAGUGUUAGAGGGUUUCCGCCCUUUAGUGCUGCAGCAAACGCAUUAAGCACUCCGCCUGGGGAGUACGGUCGCAAGACUGAAACUCAAAGGAAUUGACGGGGCCCGCACAAGCGGUGGAG